rnacentral:ribozyme from 1 species
ACGAAACCACCAUCGUUUCGUAGCCACCUGUAAAGCUGCCGCUGGGUGUCUCAAGCCACCAGACUAACAAAGCAUAGCACAAAUGCGUUCGUUAGUGAAGCUGAGAGCAGG